rnacentral:siRNA from 1 species
CGUGAUUUCAUGCUCACCCAUC